rnacentral:lncRNA from 10 species
GUUCUGCAUGUCACAGAGGAAGUAGGCAUAUUUGAGGAAGACUUUCUCAAGGAUUUUUUUCAGAAGUUACACGGAAUAUGUCUGCCUCUCCUGUCUCACCUCCUUCACCUCUUCCACCUCUGCCACCCUGAGACAGCAAGAAAAACUCCACCCUUUUUUCCUCUUCCUGAGCCUAUCAACAUGAGGACAAUGGGAAUGAAGAUUUUAUGAUGAUCCACACCCACUAAGUGAAUAGGUCUCACCACUGCAGCCAUCAUCAAAAGUGGUUAUUACCAAGACUAGAUUGCAGCUCCGGACAGAGCAGCUGGCAGGGACUCAUAUUGUGAAUUGCAGCUCCAGCUCGACUGCAAGAACAAACCAGCAAUCCCGAGAGGACCCACAGACCCUCUAAAGGAAGUGGACUGCUCCUGCAGGACCUGGGAGACACCCCAAAUAUUAUCUAUAAACUCAAUUUUAGGAAGUCAAGUAUCUUCCCGAAAGUCACACAAGUAAAGAUGGACUUGGGUCUCUAAUCCAUUUGUUUGACUUCAAAACAUGUUAUCUCCAUUCCACUACCUCUUCUGUUCAGUGGAAUGAAAGAGGUUAAAACAGUUCACAGGGUCCAUGGAGUGAAUGAAAAAUGAAAAUGGGAAGAUAAAAUACAGAUUAUAGUUUUCAAGGAUUGGAGCUGGAAGGAGUUGCCUGUUUGAGAGCUGUGUUAAGGUCUGAGAAACAUGUGCAUGUUGUGCACUGCAAGAAAGGAAUCAAGAGGAAGGAGAGGAUGGAGAUAUAGAAGAUGAAAAUCAGCCAGAGUAACAAGGCUCCAGGAAAGCCACAUGGCUAUGUGCAUCCCUUAGAGAAACAAAUUGGAAAAAGGCACCUAAAUCAAUGCUGAAGACACACAGAAUAUUGAAGGAUCAACUCUACUUCUUCGAAAUAUACUUUAAUACUUUCACUGCCAAACCAGAGUUCAAGAAAUAACUGCGGUGGAAUGAUAAUGAGAAGUUUAACAGUUUUAUGAUGGUUGAAGCUGACUUUAUGAAAGUUGAUAAAUUUCAUCUUGUAGGUUUCAAUUUCUCAUUCCCUACCGAGAGAUGGGGAGAAUACAUUGACACUGCAUUUCAAAUUGGCUAGAUCAGAAGGAACAGCAGCUAAAAUCCAUUACAACCCAAUUACAUCCAUCAGCUGAAGCUGUGUGCAUUCACUUGUGAACAUCAGCAUUUAAUCCAUAAAGAGGAACUAAUGAGAAAUUUGAAAAUGGAAUCCACGCAUCAGUAAGUUUAGAGAGAUUUUUCUGGGAUUAAUGAUCUGCCAGAGCAUCUUCAGCAUUCUGGAAAGCUAUUCUCUCUGGGUUUGUUUACUGACCAAGAGAAAAAAAAAGGGGGUUUCCUUCUGUCUGCUCAUCAAAUAUUUGAAAGACUACUCAUUUCAGUCCUUGAAAAUGGGAUACCGUGAGCUUUGGAAGUAAGGUCAAGUCUGGGUCAAGUCUGGCUUCCUGAAACUAUAGCCUGGUGUUCCAUCCUAUAGAAAGGGGGAAAGAGAAAAUGGAUGUCAAGCAUAUGUUUCCAAAAAUCAUCUAGGAUUCCCAGGCAAGAUGGCUGAAUAGGAACAGCUCCAGUCUGCAGCUCCCCACGA